GACUCACCGAAACAUGAUUUGAGAAGAAGAAUGAGAGGGCUGAGGCUGAAGAACCUUUGACUCCUGAAUGACUACCUGGUCACCUAUGGUAUGGAACUACAGGUGUGUGGCAAUCAGUUAUUAGAGGCAAAAGUUACCAGUGGAAUUUAGAGAUAGCUCCAGCUUCCAAGGAGUUAGCUCACUGGAUACUCAAGAAAAUGUAAAAUAAUAAGAAAUACGCUAAAUAUACAAUCCAUUGGCUUUGUUAUCUAUAAUUGCUAAACUGAAAGUAAAAUAGUACUGGGGCAGAUCCUGACUUUAUACCAAGCUCAGGUCUUGUCAGUCUGAGAUAUGGCCACAUUGUCUCAGGGCUGCUACCAAAGGGAAAAGUUAUGCUGGGACAAUAAUAGGUAGCACCUCUAUGACCUCCAGUCAUUAAGGACGUGGCCAGUUUGGGGAAAGGCAAAACCAAGGAACUGGUGAAACCAAGGCGUACAAUGUAAAAGUUAUUUCAUUUUGUGCAUUGGUAUCAUCAAAUUCCUGAGGAACCUUUACAAAAAGGGAUUGUGAGUGAGUAACUUAGGGGAUGUAUCUUUGGUUUUGAUUGCUGCAGAAUGAAAGAGCAUGUUUGGGUUGAUAUAAGACCUAGCUCACUAUUGAACAAUCAUGGAUGGCUAUAUGUGAUCUAGACACACAGAAGGUUGUUCCUGAGAGGACAGCUAGCCUUGUGGACUGAAUAAAAGUCACUAUAAAGUUAGUUUACCCUGAGAAUGGGGGUCUGUCCAACUCCCCCUAUACUUGCCAAAUGGAAGACUCCAGAUGAAGUAGCUAGUAUGCCUUGUAUGCAAGCCAUGUUGGAUUGACUUUAUGAUAAUCUGGAUAUUCAUCUACAGAAUAUGCCCCUUACCCAAGACAUGGUAAAUGCUGUGAUUAAGGUAGCUACCUUUGCAUCAGUACCCCAUAUAACAUUAUAGCUGCAAUAUGAAGAAUAGUUUGCGAAGCUUCAUCACAUUUAUUGUCUUAGUUUCCUUAUGGGUUUUACAGAUGCCAAAAAAAUUAGAGUUAGUCAGAAGAAAAUGGGGAAAGACAAAAAGGAGAGUCAGGAGAGUCAACCUUGCAGGUUGGUAAUCUUUAGAUGGUUGUUAAGAAAUGGGAUGAAUAAAGCAGAUAGUAAUGGGUUGAAACAGAGGUCUUAAUGUAGCACUACUGGAGGUUGGCUGGACCAAUGGGCCCCCCUGCUGGUCCCCCAACAUUAAAAGACCCCAAACAAAUCUGCUCUUUUUACUCCAUUUUGGAGGUAUUUGAAAAGCUGGAAGGGAAAGAUGACAAUGAGAAACUUGAUUUCGAAUCACCUGGAGAGAUGGUCUGCCACAUUAAUAAAGAUGAAAAUUGACAGAGGGGCCAGGAUCCUCUGGCUCAAUCCCCAUCUGAGAACCCAAGGGCAAAUGUACAUGUAUGGGUAAAAUGACCUGUGGGGUCAAGGGAGAAAAGAAUUUUCUAGGGCUUCUUGACAUGGGAUCCCAAUGCUCUAGGAUUCCAAAACCUGUUGGUGAAGUCGUAAUGGAAUCUACAGUCAAAUGAGAGGAUAUGGGGAUGCAGUGUUUGAUGGGAUUAAGGUGAAGAUUGGAUUAAAAUGGAAAUGUUUGAAUGGAUAUUAUGUAAAGUGGUUACAUUUCUUGUCCCCGGACAUCCCUUCCAGAGGAGGAAAGUUUGAGUAAGAAUAAACCACAAAUGGAGAGAACAAGAACUAGCAGUUGGGGAUAAAGGAAUGAAUAAAUGGGUUAUUGCAACGAGGAAAAUCCAAUUUUACAUUGGUGCCUUAAGAGAGGCUCAGAGGAAGAGAAUAAUAUUAUCUCUUAGCACAAUUAUACUAGAUACCCACACGGGUGAAGUUAUGUAUUUGUCACAUUCAUCUUGCUUCUGGAACCUGACAAGAUGGAAUAGAAGCCGGCAAACCUGAGUAGCGCUGCCCUGGGAGACAUGCUGGUCAUACAAUAUGAUGAACUGGAGGAAUGGUUAAUGAGUGAGUAGAGCUCUAGUAAUAAGUCAAUACCUCUGACCCUUAUUUUUCAGGUUUUAUCUACUACAAAGGAUAUCACUUGGGAAGGAAUUUCUUGAAACUGCUCCCAAGAGAGCCAUUGGACCAUGUGGUAAACAACUCCUAGCUGAUGGAUUAUUGGGUAAAGAUAAACCUGGAUGAUCCCAUGCUCAGAAAGUUUCCUGAUUAUAAUGAAUAAGAUGUAGCAGUGGCAUGCCCAAUAUUCCAUAGUAUGCUAUGCACAAAUAUACAUCACCUUUGUUUUUGUGGAUGGCAAGCUAUUAAACAGAAUAGGAAAGACCAGUGGGUUCCUGAUGGGAUUAGAGCAGUAGGUACCACGUAGUGAUUCUGACUUCCUCUGGGAAUAGCCCCACCCUGAGUUGAAGAAGGCUAUAGCAGGCCUGGUAUACAGAAACUAAAUUAUGUCUACCUGUAUCUUGUAUGGUGGACUCAGCAUUUUGGGUACAAAAUGUGUAUUUUAGUUGCACUCAGGCUGUUAGUACCCAAUGGCAACAACAUGAAUGGUAGAACACAGCACUGGCCUGUGAGACAGAAACAUGCUUUAGGGGAGACAUCUUCUAGUUGAGGCUUCAUUGGAUGAGCUGAAUUUGCUUUUAGUGAGGAGUGGCAUUUGGAGAAAAAGACUUAUUAACUAGAAUGAGCAGAUUAAAGGGAAUUCCAUUCCAGGAGGAAUGCAAGAAAUGACAGUCAGCCUGGACAGGUGAUGAGGCUUUAGUGAAGUAGGACAGGCCAACUCACAAAUAAUGCUGGAUAAUGCUAGGACCCAGUGUUGGGAAAGCCUUGUACUCAGGCACAACAGGGUCUCUUCAUUAUUUUAAUACUGACAGGGACUGAAGUAGCCAUGGAACAAUAGCCCUCCAUUCUAGCUGUUGAGGCCCGCGAGGCACACGUAUGGGAAUCUUAUGGCUCUUCACCUAUGGGAGUCCUCUAGGAACACUUGCAAUUUACACUGAAGCAAUGUGACUGCCCUUGCUCUAGGAUAGAUCAAAACAAGACAUAUCGUAAAGUACAGUUAUCAGAGGGAGGAACUGUUCUGAAUAUUACCAUGUCCUCCCUGUAGCAGGGAGGUGAGCCCUGCUAUGUGACAGCACAGAAUAAAAACUGGUCUUAGUACAAGCCUGUGAACUGAGACAGGGUGAAUGGUUUUGUCUGUAACUGACUUGGACCAUAGAAUAACCAAUCAUGACUAAUUGUCAUGGUGCCUAUUCAUAGUAAUAUAUGGUAUAUGGGCAAGGUUGAUUAUCUCGUGAAGGGAUAGCAAAUAUGUCUGUAAUUCUUAGUGAUUUGUUCUGUAAUAAAGCUGAACUGUACCAUGGUCAUACUGUGAUAUGGUAUAACAUUGGCACUGCUGGUAAGACUCAAUUACCUUAUGUAAAUAGGUCUUAUGAUAACACUGAUAUUGAUGAUCAACUGUAUUGGGAGAUUUAGUUAGAAUUUAUGACAGGAGGCAUUGGACCACAACAGACAGUCUAACAGUGUAAUUUAUGAUGGGGACUUUGGCUCACAUGGUAUCUGCUCUACCACAGGAAAGCCUCCAGAAGGGCUGGAGACUAAAGGUAUCAUCUCGACCUCUGGAGAGGCUGGAAACUAAAGGUCAGCUAUGUGUGCAGUUAGCCAUGUCUGCAAUAAAAACUCUGGACACCAGAGCUCAGGGUAGCUUCCCUGGCUGGUGGUAUUCCAUGCACAAUGUCAUAUGUUAUUUUCAGGAAUAUUAACAUCAUCCAGAAUGCUAUGGGGAGAAGACAACUGGAAGCUCCGUGUGGACAAACCUCCUGGACUCUGCCCCACAUAUCUCUUCCCUUGGCUGAUUUGAAUUUGUAUCCUUUCACUGUGAUAAACCACAACCAGAUUAUUACAGCUGUCAGCAAGUUCUUCUAUUGAAUUGUUGAAACUGAGGGUGGUCUUGGGAACCCCUGAACUCUACUGUUGGUGUCAGGAGUGAGGGAAGUCUUGUGGACUGUACUCCCUGACCUCACAGGUGCAUUUUCCAACUUUAUUUGGACAUUCCCCAACAACAUCAUCCCCUUCUUCAAAUAUGUUUCUGCUACAAACAUUGUCCUUUAGAUGGUUCCUUUGCUGCCAUUAUGACUAUGGCGUAAUCUGUAGUAAAGCACCAUUAAGAUGUUAAUACAGAUGUAUGUGUGAAUUAAAAAGUGAUGCUAAAUGCAUAGUAACCAAUUUACUUCGCAUUAAUAAUUUAGCUAUUUUUAUUUGUUUCUAAACAAAAAGCAAAGAGGAUCCAGUCCAGAGAGCAGUUGCAACAGUGUGCACAAUUUUUAUUAAACCGAAAUAAAAGUUCUUGGGCUAUGGAAGUCACCUAAAUUCACUUCUCUUUUCCUAUGAACUUUCACUUUUUUUCCUUCCAACUCUAGUUAGAAGCUGACAGCUGACACGCCCUUCCUUUGUGCAUUUUAUCCUGGGACAAAAUGAGAAGACAUCCUUCAGUUCCCCUCAUCAACAAGAAUUUACCAAGA
rnacentral:lncRNA from 1 species